GCGCCCCGGUAUCCGAGGAGCGGAUGCCGGGGCGCUUCAGGUGUGCCCGAGUCAGUCGGGAACGACGAGGGGUUCGAAGCCCGCGCGACGCA
rnacentral:tRNA from 1 species